rnacentral:rRNA from 1 species
GACGAACGCUGGCGGCAUGCCUAACACAUGCAAGUCGAACGGAACUUGUUGAAUGAAGUUUUCGGAUGGAUUUUAGCAAGUUUAGUGGCGGACGGGUGAGUAACGCGUGAGCAACCUGCCUUUCAGAGGGGGACAACAGUUGGAAACGACUGCUAAUACCGCAUAAUGUAUCGGAACCGCAUGGCUCUGAUACCAAAGAUUUUAUCGCUGAAAGAUGGGCUCGCGUACGAUUAGAUAGUUGGAGAGGUAACGGCUCCCCAAGGCGACGAUCGGUAGCCGGACUGAGAGGUUGAACGGCCACAUUGGGACUGAGACACGGCCCAGACUCCUACGGGAGGCAGCAGUGUGGAAUAUUGCACAAUGGGGGAAACCCUGAUGCAGCGACGCCGCGUGAGUGAAAGAAGUAUUUCGGUAUGUAAAAGCUCUAUCAGCAGGGAAGAAAAAUGACGGUACCUGACUAAAGAAGCCCCGGCUAACUACGUGCCAGCAGCCGCGGU